rnacentral:lncRNA from 1 species
GUUUUUCAUUCCAGGCUGGGGAUCCGGUGGUGGGAAGCAGGUGCAGAGCCUGCAGGGAGAACUCAGACGAAAUGUAGGACUUUAAGACCCAAGCUCAGAUUCUACAACGCCCACGGGACUAAGAGGUCUGUGGGUUGUGCUACCUUCCAUCAGAUUUUCAGAAACUAAAAGUUGUCCCUACGUGGAUCUAAUAAGUCACCUCCUAUCUCCUGGAUUUGCCCUUCCGGUCUUCUCAUCACCUUUGCUGCCUUGUGGGCCCUGGGUAUGCCUCACCAGGAUUAGAGACUUCUCAUCAGCGGGAACCCUAAAUGACUCUUUCAUCCCUUGCUUCCAGGCCUAGCCAGUGCAUGGUUUCUAGAGUGUAUCUGUCCAAAGUUGUCUCCCUCACUGCGUGCAAUUUUGUACUAAAUGUCUAUCACUAAAGGACAGCAAUCUGAA